UACGUAGGGCGCAAGCGUUGUCCGGAAUUACUGGGCGUAAAGAGCUCGUAGGUGGUUUGUCGCGUUGUCCGUGAAAACUCACAGCUCAACUGUGGGCGUGCGGGCGAUACGGGCAGACUGGAGUACUGCAGGGGAGACUGGAAUUCCUGGUGUAGCGGUGGAAUGCGCAGAUAUCAGGAGGAACACCGGUGGCGAAGGCGGGUCUCUGGGCAGUAACUGACGCUGAGGAGCGAAAGCGUGGGAGCGAACAGG
rnacentral:rRNA from 1 species